rnacentral:rRNA from 1 species
UACAGAGGUCUCAAGCGUUGUUCGGAUUCAUUGGGCGUAAAGGGUGCGUAGGUGGCGCCGUAAGUCGGGUGUGAAAUUUCGGAGCUUAACUCCGAAACUGCAUUCGAUACUGCGGUGCUUGAGGACUGGAGAGGAGACUGGAAUUCAUGGUGUAGCAGUGAAAUGCGUAGAGAUCAUGAGGAACACCAGUGGCGAAGGCGGCUCACUGGACCGGUAUUGACGCUGAGGUGCGAAAGCGUGGGGAGCAAACAGG